rnacentral:rRNA from 1 species
CACGGCGGGUGCUAACGUCCGUCGUGAAGAGGGAAACAACCCAGACCGCCAGCUAAGGUCCCAAAGUCAUGGUUAAGUGGGAAACGAUGUGGGAAGGCCCAGACAGCCAGGAUGUUGGCUUAGAAGCAGCCAUCAUUUAAAGAAAGCGUAAUAGCUCACUGGUCGAGUCGGCCUGCGCGGAAGAUGUAACGGGGCUAAACCAUGCACCGAAGCUGCGGCAGCGACGCUGAUGCGUUGUUGGGUAGGGGAGCGUUCUGUAAGCCUGUGAAGGUGGCCUGUGAGGGUUGCUGGAGGUAUCAGAAGUGCGAAUGCUGACAUAAGUAACGAUAAAGCGGGUGAAAAGCCCGCUCGCCGGAAGACCAAGGGUUCCUGUCCAACGUUAAUCGGGGCAGGGUGAGUCGACCCCUAAGGCGAGGCCGAAAGGCGUAGUCGAUGGGAAACGGGUUAAUAUUCCCGUACUUGGUGUUACUGCGAAGGGGGGACGGAGAAGGCUAUGUUGGCCGGGCGACGGUUGUCCCGGUUUAAGCGUGUAGGUGUGUGUUCCAGGUAAAUCCGGUUCACUUUAACACUGAGGCGUGAUGACGAGGCACUACGGUGCUGAAGCAACAAAUGCCCUGCUUCCAGGAAAAGCCUCUAAGCAUCAGGUAACAUCAAAUCGUACCCCAAACCGACACAGGUGGUCAGGUAGAGAAUACCAAGGCGCUUGAGAGAACUCGGGUGAAGGAACUAGGCAAAAUGGUGCCGUAACUUCGGGAGAAGGCACGCUGACAC